UACCUACGGGGGGCAGCAGUAGGGAAUCUUCCACAAUGGACGAAAGUCUGAUGGAGCAACGCCGCGUGAGUGAGGAAGGUCUUAGGAUUGUAAAAUUCUGUCCUAUGGGAAGAAACAAAUGACGGUACCAUAGGAGGAAGCCCCGGCUAACUACGUGCCAGCAGCCGCGGUAAUACGUAGGGGGCGAGCGUUGUCCGGAAUUACUGGGCGUAAAGAGAGCGUAGGCGGCACUACAAGUCUCAUGUGAAAUACCCGGGCUUAACUUGGGGGUUGCAUGGGAAACUGUAGAGCUUGAGUACAGGAGG
rnacentral:rRNA from 1 species